rnacentral:misc_RNA from 1 species
GUGAAUCAUCAAAUCUUUGAACGCAAAUUGCACUCUCUGGUAUUCCGGGGAGUAUGCUUGCUUGAGGGUUAGUUUGUUACAAUCGUAAAAAGAAAUUUUUACGGCUCUGGAUUUUCCAAAAGUUAUUUUUUUGGUAAUCUAAGAUUUAAAAUAACCAUAGGUUAUAUUGGAAAUGUUUAUUUUUGAUUAAUUAUCAAUUCUUUCUAUCUUAGUCGCGACG